rnacentral:rRNA from 1 species
GACAGAGGGUGCAAACGUUGCUCGGAAUCACUGGGCGUAAAGGGCGCGUAGGCGGGUUCAUAAGUCUGUGGUGAAAUCCUCCGGCUCAACCGGAGAACUGCCUCGGAUACUGUGGGCCUCGAGGGUGAUAGGGGUAUGCGGAACUAUCGGUGGAGCGGUGAAAUGCGUUGAUAUCGAUAGGAACUCCGGUGGCGAAGGCGGCAUACUGGAUCACUUCUGACGCUGAGGCGCGAAAGCCAGGGGAGCAAACGGG